AGUGAACGCUGGCGGUAGGCCUAACACAUGCAAGUCGAACGGCAGCACAAUAAGACCUUGCUCUUACGUGUCGCGAGUGGCGGACGUGUGAGACGUACAUCCGACUCUCCUUUUUCGUGGGGGUUAACGGAGGGAAACUUACGCUAUUCCCGCAUACCACCUAACGUUGCAUGUAGUGGAGCUUCGGACCUUGCGCGAUUGAAUAAGCAGAGGUCGGAUUAGCUUGUUGGCGGGGUAACGGCCCACCAAGGCAACGAUGCGUAGCGGGUCUGAGAGGAUGAGCAGCCCCACCGCAACUGAGACACGGCCCAGACUCCUACGGGAGGGAGCAGUGGGGAAUGUUGGACAAUGGGCGCAAGCCGGGUCCAGCCAUACCGCGUGGGUGAAGAAGGCAUUGGGGUUGUAAAGCUCUUCUGUUGGGAAAGAAAAGCAGCAGGAGAAUACCGCGAUGUUCUGACGGUACCGAAUGAAUAAGCACCGGCUAACUUCGUG
rnacentral:rRNA from 1 species